UGGGUUGGCAGGAGCAUCGGAUGCUGCUCCUGUUGGCUACGGUGUGGGCGGGUGUGCUUUUUGGAUCCUGCGAGAUGGGAGGAGGUGGUCCUCCUUUGAGGCUGAGCCGAGAAAAGGGCAGCUAACAGACUUCAGUGAUUAAUGGCCUCCACUGCAGAGGAAAAAUGAAGGGUUGUGGCCCAAAACUUUUUGGGGCAAAGGAGGAGAACAAAGUCUCAAAGAGAACAGACAAUCCAAAUUGCAGCACUGGUUGGUUCAGAUUCUCCUUUUUCAAAAUUUACUGGCCCCCAUUUUCAUUUUUGUGUUGUCAUUUUAGUGGCAUUGGCAGUUAGACUUAUGUAUUCAAACUCUCCUUUUAAGAGUGAUACACCAAUAUUUUUGGUUUUCAGAAAAGAAUGUAUAUACAUUUUUUCAUGCUACCCGAACUAUUAUUGUUCUUCA